rnacentral:rRNA from 1 species
GACGACCCUUUAAAGGCGUGCUUAACACAUGCAAGUCGAACGGAAAGGCCCUGCUUUUGUGGGGUGCUCGAGUGGCGAACGGCUGAGUAACACGUGAGUAACCUGCCCUUGACUUUGGGAUAACUUCAGGAAACUGGGGCUAAUACCGGAUAGGAGCUCCUGCUGCAUGGUGGGGGUUGGAAAGUUUCGGCGGUUGGGGAUGGACUCGCGGCUUAUCAGCUUGUUGGUGGGGUAGUGGCUUACCAAGGCUUUGACGGGUAGCCGGCCUGAGAGGGUGACCGGCCACAUUGGGACUGAGAUACGGCCCAGACUCCUACGGGAGGCAGCAGUGGGGAAUAUUGCACAAUGGGCGGAAGCCUGAUGCAGCAACGCCGCGUGCGGGAUGACGGCCUUCGGGUUGUAAACCGCUUUCGCCUGUGACGAAGCGUGAGUGACGGUAAUGGGUAAAGAAGCACCGGCUAACUACGUGCCAGCAGCCGCGGUGAUACGUAGGGUGCGAGCGUUGUCCGGAUUUAUUGGGCGUAAAGGGCUCGUAGGUGGUUGAUCGCGUCGGAAGUGUAAUCUUGGGGCUUAACCCUGAGCGUGCUUUCGAUACGGGUUGACUUGAGGAAGGUAGGGGAGAAUGGAAUUCCUGGUGGAGCGGUGGAAUGCGCAGAUAUCAGGAGGAACACCAGUGGCGAAGGCGGUUCUCUGGGCCUUUCCUGACGCUGAGGAGCGAAAGCGUGGGGAGCGAACAGGCUUAGAUACCCUGGUAGUCCACGCUGUAAACGGUGGGUACUAGGUGUGGGGUCCAUUCCACGGGUUCCGUGCCGUAGCUAACGCUUUAAGUACCCCGCCUGGGGAGUACGGCCGCAAGGCUAAAACUCAAAGGAAUUGACGGGGCCCCGCACAAGCGGCGGAGCAUGCGGAUUAACUCGAUGCAACGCGUAGAACCUUACCUGGGUUUGACAUGGAUCGGGAGUGCUCAGAGAUGGGUGUGCCUCUUUUGGGGUCGGUUCACAGGUGGUGCAUGGCUGUCGUCAGCUCGUGUCGUGAGAUGUUGGGUUAAGUCCCGCAACGAGCGCAACCCUUGUUCACUGUUGCCAGCACGUUAUGGUGGGGACUCAGUGGAGACCGCCGGGGUCAACUCGGAGGAAGGUGGGGAUGACGUCAAGUCAUCAUGCCCCUUAUGUCCAGGGCUUCACGCAUGCUACAAUGGCUGGUACAGAGAGUGGCGAGCCUGUGAGGGUGAGCGAAUCUCGGAAAGCCGGUCUCAGUUCGGAUUGGGGUCUGCAACUCGACCUCAUGAAGUCGGAGUCGCUAGUAAUCGCAGAUCAGCAACGCUGCGGUGAAUACGUUCCCGGGGCU